rnacentral:rRNA from 1 species
CAGCCGCCGCGGUAAUACGAAGGGGGCUAGCGUUGCUCGGAAUGACUGGGCGUAAAGGGCGCGUAGGCGGCGGCCAAGUCAGGCGUGAAAUUCCCGGGCUCAACCUGGGGGCUGCGUUUGAUACUUGGUUGCUUGAGUGGGGAAGAGGGUCGUGGAAUUCCCAGUGUAGAGGUGAAAUUCGUAGAUAUUGGGAAGAACACCGGUGGCGAAGGCGGCGACCUGGUCCUCUACUGACGCUGAAGCGCGAAAGCGUGGGGAGCAAAUAGGAUUAGAUACCCCUGUAGUCCCUGUCUCUUAUACA